rnacentral:rRNA from 1 species
GACGAACGCUGGCGGCGUGCUUAACACAUGCAAGUCGAACGGAAAGGCCCUGCUUUUGUGGGGUGCUCGAGUGGCGAACGGGUGAGUAACACGUGAGUAACCUGCCCUUGACUUUGGGAUAACUUCAGGAAACUGGGGCUAAUACCGGAUAGGAGCUCCUGCUGCAUGGUGGGGGUUGGAAAGUUUCGGCGGUUGGGGAUGGACUCGCGGCUUAUCAGCUUGUUGGUGGGGUAGUGGCUUACCAAGGCUUUGACGGGUAGCCGGCCUGGGAGGGUGACCGGCCACGUUGGGACUGGGAUGCGGCCCAGCCUCCUACGGGAGGCAGCGGUGGGGAAUAUUGCACAAUGGGCGGAAGCCUGAUGCGGCAACGCCGCGUGCGGGAUGACGGCCUUCGGGUUGUAAACCGCUUUCGCCUGUGACGAAGCGUGAGUGACGGUAAUGGGUAAAGAAGCACCGGCUAACUACGUG